rnacentral:tRNA from 1 species
UGUAGGGAAGCCUAAUGGAAAAGGCACGGGCCUGGGAGUCAGAGGACUUGGGUUCUAAUUCCAGCCCUACCA